rnacentral:rRNA from 1 species
GACGAACGCUGGCGGCGUGCUUAACACAUGCAAGUCGAACGGUGAAGCGCCUUCCUUUUUGGUGGGUGUGGAGGAGUGGCGAACGGGUGAGUAACACGUUAGUAACCUGCCCCCUUCUUCUGGAUAACCGCAUGAAAGUGUGGCUACUACGGGAUAUUCUGGGUCUGUCGCAUGAUGGGUCUGGGGAAGAUAUUGUUUCGGUUGUGGAUGGGCUCGCGGCCUAUCAGCUUGUUGGUGGGGUGAUGGCCUACCAAGGCGAUGAGGGGUAGCCGGCCUGAGAGGGUGGACGGUCACACUGGGGAGGAGACACGCAGCAGACUCCUAGAGGAGGCAGCAGUGGGGCAUCCGGCACGAUGGGAGCAAGCAUGAUGCAGCGACGCCGCGUGAGUGAUGGAGGCCGUAGGGUUGUGAACCGCUUUCGGGAGUGAAGCAGGCUUGCCUUGUCUGUGGGUGGGUUGACGGUAGCUGGAUAAGAAGCGCCGGCUAACUACGUG